UCGAUUGCUCCAGAAAAGAUAAUAUGGGCAUGUCUACUAGAUUUGGCAAUGCCUGCUUCCGAUUGAUAUGGAGAAGAGCCGCCUCUGCCUCCCCGAGGAGACUCCAUAGCAGCAGCCAUGGCCAAAGUUUGGAUCAUCCACAUCAGAGUUGUGAUGGCUGAAACCCUAUACUUUGCUUCCGAACAUGCUUUUAUUGAUCUCAAGUAAGCAGCGUAAUCUCUUCUUUUUCUCUGAUCCACGUGCUGAUUCAAGCUGGAGAAGUUGAUAUCACAUAUUCUUUUAGGGAUCAUGUAAUUGAGCUUUAGGACGAUUGAUCGUCCAGACAUUGAUUUAUUUAGAUUAAAUCUGAUCGUCAUCUCAUCUCCCUCUCUCCCUCUCUCCCUCUCUCUUGGAAAGAAAAAGGGAAUCUUCAUCCAGUUUUCUGAAAGGAGGACAUGGCUAGCCAGCAUGACGAGGGUGAUUAGAUGAAUAUCCUCCUCUUUUUUUAGUUCUUUGCAGUUUGGUGUUACUACAACAACGGAUUUUUUGCUCCCUUCUCCUGUGUUUCUGAUUCAAUCUGGAAGUUAUGUGUUCAUAUGGUGAUAAAGACGCAGAUGCAAGAUGUCAGAAGCUGAUGGUGCAUUCUCUACAAACACCGGAAUUGUUGUUUGGCGUUGCACUGUCAGAACAUGGGCCAAAUUACGCCAUUUUGGAUGGCGUUCAUGAACUACAUGGAGAGGAGUUAAACCUACACCCCCUACUGUAGGAAUUUGCUGGCGUACACGGAGUAGCGAGGCAGCAGCAUCAGCGGAAUCAUGAUCAUGGAAAUUGGAGCGAUGCAUUGACUAAUUUCUUCUGCACGUCACAAACAUUGGUGUUCCUCGACUGUGACUACGUGAUGCUAACUUAUUACAUAAUGGAAGGAUUAGUCAUGGCGCCAACCUGAAGAAAUUAAUACUCCCUCCGUUCCUAAAUAUUUGUCCUUUUAGAGAUUUCAAAUGAACUAUCCCAUACGGAUGUAUAUAGACAUAUUUUAGAGUGUAGAUUGACUCAUUUUGCUCCGUAUGUAGUCACUUGUUGAAAUCUCUAGAAAGACGUUAGAGGGCGGAGAUGUUGCUAUUUGUAUGGUAUAUUUUGACCAUGG